UGCACGAGGGCAACAUGCUUUGCUAAAAGGUAUAUAACCUUUGUAUAAUCUGCAUUCAGGGUCUCCUCCUGGCUAGCAGGGGGGCACCACGCUCGAGCGUAAUAAACUUAGUGUCUUUUGGGCACUCUGCAGUUGUGGACUUUAUUUCUGUGCCUCGCCUAGAUUCGAACUGUGCGUGACCUAUCACGUGUAAUUCGUAGCAUUGAUGUGCGUGUCCUACAAGGUGUAAUUCGCAGCACUUGUGUGCGUGUCCUACAAGGUGUAAUUCGUAACAGUUUUGGCGACCCCGAAGGGACUCUAGGCUCGCCCCAACAAGCGAGACUACAGUCCUCCUCUCGGACAGCUCCAGCCGGCACAGGGUAAAAGAAGUCCUGCUUCAAGAAUCCUGAGCAAACCUGCCAUUUGUUAAAACCAGGUGACUGGGUCUACAUAAAGGUCCAUCAACAAAAGACUACUCUGGCCCCAUGCUGAAAAGGCCCUUAUUAAGUCCUGCUAACUACCAACACCGCUGUGAAGUGCCAAGGACUGACUGCCUAGACCCAUGCUUCUUACUGCAAGACGACCCCUCCACCUUGAGGUGACUUCACUUCGACUACUGAUCAGCCUGUCCCUCCUUCUGGGUUUUUUUUUUUUUCCCCUUUCCUCCUUUUGAACAGCAAAAAAAAAAAAACACAAGGUGAAGUGCUAGUAACCUCUCCCUUGUCCACUGACAAAGCUAACCUGCAUUCAGUAUUUGCUAAAGAAACCAAAGCACUACAGGGUGACGUGCUAGUAACCUCUCCCCUGUAUAAUGCAAAACCAUGCCUGUUCCAAAAGAGAAGGAACGCCUGCUCUGCUAAAACCACCAAAAUCCAAGGAUUCCUGACUGCAAAAGACACUGAGAAUUGGCCUUGAUGGCAAAGACGGAGCAUUGUACAUUGGCAGGGAGAAAGUUGCGGAAUGUAUUCUUGGGAAUGUGAAGUAAAGUGGUGGGGUGGGUUUAUUCCAGAGGCUGGAACUGUGCUUGUAGGCAAGUAUAAAUACCAAAAACGCCUUACAGCCACGAACAUUACUCCCACCAUCUGCCACCACUCCUUUGCAGGUAAAGGUUCCUGGAUCCAUCAUAGCUACGUUAAGUUGGCGCUGGGACCCCCACCUGACCCUGACAAGCCAGCAGACGAGCCACUUCACGAAUGAACACUACAACCAACCCAUGGACUGAGCUUUCCAGCUACUGGGACCUUCAUAGCCCACCAGGACUUUUUGUGUUCCUGUUUAUUGGACUUACAUUGGGGGUAGUGUUUUUUGUAUAGUACAGAGGAGGAUGUCGACAUUGGUAUGGUUUGCCUGGGGGGGGGUUCUCUCCCUAUUCCCAAGUCCAGUACAAGGAUGGGAGGGCAAUAGCUUCUUGAAUUUAACCCGUGCUAUCAAACAGGGUGUAAAUCGAACGCAGUGUUGGAUUUGUAUUCGUACCCCCACAUAUUUAGGUCAGGGCGUCCCAUUGGUAGGGGUACCUAUCCCCCUUAAUCGAACACUCCAAGCUAAGCUAUGGGCAAACACUACAUUUAACUGGAAUGUUACAGUCCAAAUAUGGUCUAUUAAUAUGGUGGCCCAGAGUAAUUAUGCUUUGUGUGGGUCACAACGUAAGGGCAUAGAAAAUACAGUUUUUGUAGGGAAUUUUGUAGGGUGCAAGAACACCACCCAAAUCAGCUCUGGUGCGGGAGGCCCCUCUACCUGCUCCAGAACCCUGUGGCCAGUCCCCAAGGGGUCUGGCUGGUAUUGGUUAUGCAAUCACACAGCCUAUAAGGUUCUUCCAGCAGGAUGGUGUGGUACAUGUACCUUAGGGGCUAUAGUACCCGCCGUGACAGUACACCAGAACCUGACCCAGUGAGAGAUCCGCAAUCUAGUAUGGAGGGACCGACGAAGUAUUCCUUUAAACCCCCUUUCUUAUCGGCCCAAAGGCUUUCACUCCUUUGUGCAUUGGUUUCUGCCAUGGUUGGGAGUAAGCGAGCUGGAAAAAGCUCUAGUUAACAUUUCAGCGGCUUUGGAAUUAAUGGCAAAUGCUACUGCAGAUGCUCUGUCUGCCCUUCAAAUUGAAGUCACUCAGCUAUCCCAAACUACAUUGCAAAACCACCUAGCCCUGGAUUAUCUCCUUGCAAAUCAAGGCGGGGUUUGGGCUCUGGUCAACUCAAGCUGUUGUGUUUUUGUAAAUCAGCACCAUAGGGUGGAAACUGACAUCCACAUCCUCAAGCAACAGGCAGCCCUAUUACACCACAUCAGCCUCGACACUACCAGCGCUGGAUUCCAGGAGGUCUGGGACUGGCUCACCUCAUGGCUACCGGAUGUGGGGACUUGGGGACGGCGUAUUUUGUAUUUACUUUUUUUGACUGUUAUUGUUUUUGCGUUAUUUUUUGAACGCCUACAAUGCUGCAGUACGUGCUGUCGGCAGUUGCUAACCCUGCAGCACGGUUACUCAGCCCCGAUAUAGCUUACUGACGUACAAAAAAAAGGGAGGACUGUUAAGGAAAAGUUAGCACAUGUGACUCCAUUUUGGUUUGGGGCCCACCAUUGUUUAAAUGCCAGCACAUCAUACACCAGGAGGAGUAAUCCUUAAAUACUGAAUCCCUGUGAAAAUCCUCCUCCUUGUCUCCAGCCUGCCUUGACUCCCAGUAUCUGGUUUUUGUCAGUCUCUAACUCCCUGUCUCUUGGCCUUGAUGUGAGGCCUCCCAUCCUGAUAAUAAAAGUUACUGAUACAUGGCUUUAGGACCAUGCUGUGUAAUUAACAUACUGGUAUAGCACGAGGAAUGCACCAAGCAAGGAUAGGUGGUAGAUAAGACAAGGGUUUGUUUAUUGGCUAAGGUUUCCGAUGCACAAGGGCAACAUGCUUUGCUAAAAGGUAUAUAACCUUUGUAUAAUCUGCAUUCAGGGUCCCCUCCUGGCUAGCAGGGGGGCACCACGCUCGAGCAUAAUAAACUUAGUGUCUUUUGGGAACUCUGCA